rnacentral:rRNA from 1 species
AUUUAAUAUUUAUGGAUUUUUUGUUUGUUUAUUUAUUAUUUUAAUAAAAGUAAUUUAAUUUAUAAUUGUUUUAGUAUUAGAUUUUGAACUGAUUUAUUUUUAUAUAGUUGUAGUAUUGUGAAAGAUUAAUGUUUUAUUUAAUUAAGUAAAUUUAUUUUUUACCUUUUGUAUCAGGGUUUAUUAAUUAAUUAGUAUAAAUUUUAUUGAUCUCGAAGUUAAAAGAGUUAAAUAUGAAUUAUUUUUUAUGUUGUAUAAUAAUUAUAAAUUUAUAUUUAGAAGUGAUAUGUUAUUCGAUUUUAUUGAUAUCUGGUUUUUUCCGAAAUGAAUUUAAUUCAUAUAUUUAAUUUAAUAAUAAAAUUAUUUUUUGUUUAUGUUGGAUAUAAAGAAUUAAUGGGAUAAUCUAUUAAUUUAUAUUUAUUAUUUAUUAAUUUGAUUUAAUAAUUGUAAUUUUAAAAUUUAAUUUCAUUGAUGAUAAUUUAAUAAUUUAUUUUAUUAUUUAAAAAUUUAAUUAUUAAAUGUAACUUUUUAGGAUAAAUUAUAUAUUAAUAAUUUUUGUAUAGUUAUAAUGAUAAAAUUAGUAGUUGAUUUUUGUAAGUAAUAUUUUAAUUUUUAAAUAGAUUAAAGGAACUCGGCAAAUUAAAUAUUCACCUGUUUAUCAAAAACAUGUCUUUUUGUUUAUAAUUUAAGGUCUGCUCUGCCCAAUGAGUUAUUUUAAAUGGCUGCAGUAUAUUGACUGUACAAAGGUAGCAUAAUAAUUAGUCUUUUUAUUGGAGGCUUGAAUGAAUGAGUUGAUGAAAUAUUUACUGUCUCUAUUUUAUUGUAUUAAUUUAAAUUUUAAGUAAAAAUGCUUAAAUUAUUAUAUGGGACGAGAAGACCCUAUAGAAUUUUAUAAUUUAUAUUAAUAUAUAAAUAUAUUAAUAUAAAUUAUUUUGUUGGGAGGAUGUUUAAAUUUAUUUAACUUUAAAAUUUUUAAUCAAUUAUUUUUGUUUUAUAAGAUAGUUUAUUAUGAAUUGUUAGAUUAAAUUACCUUAGGGAUAACAGCGUAAUAUCUUUGGAGAGAUCAUAUUUAUAAAGAUGUUUGCGACCUCGAUGUUGAAUUAAAGUAUAAUUUAAAUGUAGGAGUUUAAAUUUUAAGUCUGUUCGACUUUUAAUAUUUUACAUGAUUUGAGUUCAGAUCGGCGUGAGCCAGAUCGGUUUCUAUCUAUAUUUAAAUAAUAAAUUUUUGUACGAAAGGACUUAAUUUAUGAACUAUUUUUUUUUUAUUAUAUUAAGAUUUUAAAUAAUAAGUUUAA